CCCCUGGUGGUGUAGUGGUUAGGAUGCAGCACCCUCACUGCUGUGGCCCGGGUUCAAUUCCUGGUCAGGGAA
rfam:Manacus vitellinus contig12806, whole genome shotgun sequence.